GUAUUAAUCCCACCUCUAUAAGCAGACAUCAAUAUAAAAUUAUAGGCAGCAGAACCAAAUGGGUUGAAAGCUCGCUUAAUAACUCCAUUUUCCAGCGGCGGAGGAAGAGCGGUGGAGGCGUUAAUAGCUGAAAUUGAAACUGAAACAGAAUCGAAAGAUGGAACAGAAAUACAAGUAGUUGAAAAACGAAUAGGCAUGAAUUGAAGAAUUGUCAUAAGGGAAAACAGAAAAAGUAUAGCAGUAAGGAUAAAUUUGAGUUCAGCUGCACAAUUCCAUACAAUACCAACAAACAUUUUCCUCUCUUUCUCCUUGGUCAUCACAAAAUUGUACGAAAAGAAAUAACAGAAAAUGGC
rnacentral:misc_RNA from 1 species